rnacentral:rRNA from 1 species
UUUAAAUGGCCGCAGUAUACUAACUGUGCAAAGGUAGCAUAAUCAUUAGUCUUUUAAUUGAAGGCUGGUAUGAAUGGUUGGACGAGAUAUUAACUGUUUCAUAAAAAUUUAUAUUAGAAUUUUAUUUUUUAGUCAAAAAGCUAAAAUAAUAUUAAAAGACGAGAAGACCCUAUAAAUCUUUAUAUUUAGAUUAUUAAAAUUUUGUAGAUUUUUUUUAUUAUAAUAAUUGAUUAUAUUUUAUUGGGGUGAUAUUAAAAUUUAAUGAACUUUUAAUUUUAUAAAUCAUUAAUUUAUGAAUAAUUGAUCCGUUAAUAACGAUUAAAAAAAUAAGUUACUUUAGGGAUAACAGCGUAAUUUUUUUGGAGAGUUCUUAUCGAUAAAAAAGAUUGCGACCUCGAUGUUGGAUUAAGAUAUAGUUUUAGGUGUAGCCGCUUAAAUUUUAAGUCU